rnacentral:rRNA from 1 species
AUUGAACGCUGGCGGCAUGCCUUACACAUGCAAGUCGAACGGCAGCACGGGAGCAAUCCUGGUGGCGAGUGGCGAACGGGUGAGUAAUACAUCGGAACGUGCCCAAUCGUGGGGGAUAACGCAGCGAAAGCUGUGCUAAUACCGCAUACGAUCUGCGGAUGAAAGCAGGGGACCGCAAGGCCUUGCGCGAAUGGAGCGGCCGAGGGCAGAUUAGGCAGUUGGUGGGGUAAAGGCUCACCAAGCCAACGAUCUGUAGAUGGUCUGAGAGGACGGCCAGCCCAAACGGGACUGAAACACGGCCCAGACUCCUACGGGGGGCAGCAGGGGGGAAUUUUGGACAAUGGGCUCAAGCCUGAUCCAGCCAUGCCGCGUGCAGGAUGAAGGCCUUCGGGUUGUAAACUGCUUUUGUACGGAACGAAACGGCUCUUUCUAAUAUCCUGGGCUAAUGACGGUACCUGAAGAAUAAGCACCGGCUAACUACGUGCCAGCCGCCGCCGUAACAC